AUUGAACGCUGGCGGCAUGCCUUACACAUGCGAGUCGAACGGUAACAGGUUAAGCUGACGAGUGGCAAACGGGUGAGUAAUGUAUCGGAACGUGCCCAGUCGUGGGGGAUAACUGCUCGAAAGAGCAGCUAAUACCGCAUACGACCUGAGGGUGAAAGCGGGGGAUCGCAAGACCUCGCGCGAUUGGAGCGGCCGAUAUCAGAUUAGGUAGUUGGUGAGGUAAAGGCUCACCAAGCCGACGAUCUGUAGCUGGUCUGAGAGGACGACCAGCCACACUGGGACUGAGACACGGCCCAGACUCCUACGGGAGGCAGCAGUGGGGAAUUUUGGACAAUGGGCGCAAGCCUGAUCCAGCCAUGCCGCGUGCGGGAAGAAGGCCUUCGGGUUGUAAACCGCUUUUGUCAGGGAAGAAAAGGUUCUGGCUAAUACCUGGGACUCAUGACGGUACCUGAAGAAUAAGCACCGGCUAACUACGUG
rnacentral:rRNA from 1 species